rnacentral:rRNA from 1 species
CCUACGGGAGGCAGCAGUGGGGAAUUUUGGACAAUGGGCGAAAGCCUGAUCCAGCAAUGCCGCGUGAGUGAAGAAGGCCUUCGGGUUGUAAAGCUCUUUUGUCAGGGAAGAAACGGUGAGAGCUAAUAUCUCUUGCUAAUGACGGUACCUGAAGAAUAAGCACCGGCUAACUACGUGCCAGCAGCCGCGGUAAUACGUAGGGUGCAAGCGUUAAUCGGAAUUACUGGGCGUAAAGCGUGCGCAGGCGGUUUUGUAAGUCUGAUGUGAAAUCCCCGGGCUCAACCUGGGAAUUGCAUUGGAGACUGCAAGGCUAGAAUCUGGCAGAGGGGGGUAGAAUUCCACGUGUAGCAGUGAAAUGCGUAGAUAUGUGGAGGAACACCGAUGGCGAAGGCAGCCCCCUGGGUCAAGAUUGACGCUCAUGCACGAAGACGUGGGAGGACAACGAGGAGUAGUAUACCGUACGGUACGUACCGACCGACCCGUAACCGUAACUAGUCUACUAGUUGUUCGGGUUCGUUAUUAGUACGUU